GGAGUAGGUUUUAGUACGUAAGCGCCAGGGAUGACGAAUCAUGCAUGCUGCUAUCAAGAAUCAGCAGCAUCUUUUGAAGAUUGUCAACCUCC
rfam:Glossina pallidipes unplaced genomic scaffold Scaffold17, whole genome shotgun sequence.